GGCAAAGAUGGGCUGUCUGAGGACAGACAGGAAAUGUGACUCAAGCUAAGGAUCCAGCCCCAACCUGCCAUCCCUCCUUGCUUCUUCUCACGGAUUCUUUGAAAUUCUUUGAAAGAAUUGGGACAGAGGAAAGAAGAAGGGGAGGGAAGAGGGAAACGAAGUCCUAUGCAGCCAGAGCUCAGCCUGCUGGGAGGUGGAGUGAGCUGGGGGCUGCUGGGUAGAGUUGGAAACCUGGGCCACAAAGGAAAGAAGUCAAGGCUGAUCUGCUGAGACUCUUUGUUGUAACAUGUGACCUGACAGCCAGCCCCAGCCACCAGACAUGUGAGUGACACCAUCUGAGACCAUCCAGGUCCAGUCCAUCUGCCAGAUAUCUGCGGCUAUGUGAGUAAUCCUGGGUGACUCCAGCAGAAGAACUUCCCCUCUGAGCCCAGCCCAGAAUCCAGAUAUGGGGAGGAAGAAGAAGAAUUCUACAGAAGCUGCAGAUCCUGAGUGGAGCAAACAUGGCUAACCAUCAGCCAUGGGCCAAGUGCUAGAAUGGGGACACAAAGCGGGUGCUACUAGGAGGCCUGCUCAUGAAAACACAAGAAAGUCAAAAGAGGAUAUUUAUCUGGGCUGAGAGGAUAAAGAAACACUAAAUCACUGAGCCUAGAAAUAAAAUGAAGCAUCAGCAAACUGUCUUAAGCAGCUCUGCCUUAACCCCUUCUCCAGCUGAACGCUCUUCACCAUAUCAUUGCUAUUCUUGAAUCCAGAACAUGGCUGCCAUGGCUUUUAGCCUUUGUAUGGAGGUCCAUUUGUCAGAACUUAGUUCCUUCUGGCUCACCUGCUUGAGCCUGGGGGUGUAGGCGGUUCUUGAGGGAAGCACAAGAUUUCCAUGGUGUCUGAGCUCCUGGUUUCCUAUUUCUCUCUGGUCAUAAGCUGAGCUGGACCCAAAUCUCUGUGCCCUUAUUUACCCUUUUGCCACAGCCUGCCCUUGCCUAGGACUGGGUCGGUGUCCUGGACUUCCUCCUGGGGAGGGAAUCCCCUCUCUUCCUGACCCCACAACCCCAUUUCUUAGAAAAGAGACUGACAGAAGUAGGUAAGCUGUAGAAGCAGAGAUGUGGACACCCUCUACCCCAUGGGUUUCUCUGAUCUGGAGGUCUGUGAGCCUUACCUCCUCCCUACCGUACUCCUGCCCCCAAAUUCUUUUCUGGAAAACAUUCCAGUUCUUAUUUAUGCCCAUCCAUAGUCCACACUGAAGGAAGGCCAGUGGGGUUGGGAGCCCCUGGGGACUAUUGCCUGACCAGACCAGGCUGGUCCCCACCGGGACACCCCUGGCUCGUUGGCAUGCCCACCCUGAUCAGACAGCUCCUGGCCAGGGGACCAUGCUCCUGAUGCUUUCUGAUUCCUCUCUUUGGUGGCAUUCUCAUCACCUAUACUGGCUGCUGCACAGCAAUGGGGGCCACUGUCACUCAAGGCCCUGGGAACAUUCCACCCACAAAACCCCCUGAACUGCUACUGUCACUUGACCAUCCUACUCCUUCUCAAAAGCAAUUGCCACAUGGUCUACGUCCAUGGCAGGAACUCGGAAGAGGAUUAUUUGGCAGUAUAGACAGGUGACAAGAUGACAGGAGGAAUAUUUUUAUUCAGGUAGUAAAAGAAGAGAAAUGCCAGGGAGUAGAAGCUGAAUUAGCAAGAGGAGGGGGAGGGAAAGGAGGAGGAACAAAGGGAGGAUGAUGAAAGUGCUAGAAUAAGAGGGACACAGGCCUAGUGGGGACCCUGCCCUAGUACUCGAAAGAGCAGCUGGUCUACAGAGGCCUUGUCUUCAAAUUCUAGACCCAAGGGCAGAGGAGGAACUGGGCAGGCCCCAGAAAGUUUCUGAAUGUACGUAAUGACACUGAAUUGCACAUCUAAAAAUGAUCAAAUUGGGGGUGCCUGGGAGGCUCAGUUGGUUGGGCACCUGCCUUCGGCUCAGCUCAUUAUCUCAGGGUCCUGGGAUGGAGUCCCACAUGGGGGUCCCUGCUCAGCAGGGGCCUUCUUCUCUCUCUGCCUCUGCCUCUGCCUCCCCUUGCCUCGUGCUCUUUCUUAAUCUCCCGCAAAUGAAGAAAUAAAAUCUUGAAUGAAUGGAUAAAUGAAUAAAUAAAUAAAUAAGUAAAUAAAUGUAUGUAAAAAUAAAUGUAAAAUAAAUAAAUAAAUAAAUAAAUAAAUAAAUAAAUAUGAUCA